UACGUAGGGUGCAGGCGUUAAUCGGAAUUACUGGGCGUAAAGCGUGCGCAGGCGGUUUGCUAAGACAGGUGUGAAAUCCCCGGGCUUAACCUGGGAACUGCGCUUGUAACUGGCAAGCUAGAGUGUGGCAGAGGGGGGUGGAAGUCCAGGUGUAGCAGUGAAAUGCGUAGAGAUCUGGAGGAACACCGAUGGCGAAGGCAGCCCCCUGGGCUAACACUGACGCUCAUGCACGAAAGCGUGGGGAGCAAACAGG
rnacentral:rRNA from 1 species